CUCGCCCACUCCCGGAGGGCAGGGCGCAGUCGCUGCGCCCUGGGCGCAGGGGCACCUCUCCGGGCAGUGUCGCCCGCCCCUGUUCUCACCGCUCUCUCGCUUUGUGCUUAGGGCGACCUGAAGUCAGCCCCCCAAAUCCGCCCUAGCCCCCUGGCUUGCUCGCACAUGCUCAGAACGCUGGCUCCUGCCCCGCUGGGGUUUCAGGGCUCUCAGUCCUCUUCCAGUGCACCCGGAGGCGGUGGGUCGGCAGGAAAAGAAGACCCGGACUUUGUUGAAGUAAUCUACCUUUAAGGGCUGUGCUAACAGGAAGGCCUGUGAUGUUUGCAAUCAAGCCAUUAUGAAGUCAAGAAUGGAGCUUCCAUUUUUAAAGAACUCAGAGGGGGCAGAUCUUGAUUGACAUCUCAUCUGGGGUCACCUGGUCUUCAAUUGAGAGAUCUUUUUGUUCGCCACGGAUGCCUCUUGCAGUUAUGGAAGGAAUAGUCUUUAUGCCACUUUUGCUUGGUUGUCCCAACAACCCUACCUUGAAGUGAUAUAAACUACCUUCCUCUAAACAAACUUGGUGGCACUUGGUACUCAGGUGCUGCCUAUUUAGUGCACCCUUGUGCAAUAAAGUUACACCUGAGGGGAUCCA
rnacentral:lncRNA from 1 species